AGACCCUUUUAAUUUCAGUCCAGAGAGGCUGACAAAGGGGAAUUGUCAUUAAUUGGUUUUAGUGGCAUUUCUGUACCCCUUUGUGCCUUAUUGGACGAAGGGGUUUUUAAU
rfam:Bacillus sp. MRMR6 scaffold_0, whole genome shotgun sequence.